AAGCAAGAGCACUGCUUGCACCUGCUUUUACCAGUUGAAACCAAUACAUUCAUUCCUUUAAAUAUAAUCCAGACUAACAAAUGAAAGAGUAAUUGUGCGAACUGGGGAAUAAGUCCACAUAAUUGCAAAAGUACAACUAAUUUCCACCAAAGCUACUUAUGGUAGUCACACUUGCACUACCCCAGAAAUCAAAGGCAUCUACAUCCAUGCAUUAAUGACAUAAAACUCAAUGAAUAGAUACAAAUUAAGGGCCUAGUCAAUGAUGCAGACACAAGUAAAUUAGAAGACGGAUACAUAAUUGCUGGAGAAAGAAAACAAUAAUGGAUAAACAAAAAUAAACGACCUUUACAUAAAAUUAGAAAAGACAUAUCUUAUCAAAAACAGUGGCAAUAUCUACUUCAUUCCAGUAAAUUGCAAUUCUUCGAAAAUUCUAUAUCAAUUCCCAACAUUCAAAUCACACUAAACCCCUAAAAACAUAAUAAUAAUAAUAAUAA
rnacentral:misc_RNA from 1 species